UGAGGAAUAUUGGGCAAUGCCCGCAAGGGUGACCCAGCAACGCCGCGUGGAGGAUGAAUGUCGUAAGACUGUAAACUCCUGUUAGAGGGGAAGAAUAGUACCGGUUGGACCGGUAUAUGACUGUACCCUCAGAGAAAGCCCCGGCUAACUACGUGCCAGCAGCCGCGGUAAUACGUAGGGGGCAAGCGUUGUCCGGAUUUACUGGGUGUAAAGGGCGCGCAGGCGGGGUAAAAAGUCAGUGGUGAAAUCCUACAGCUUAACUGUAGAACUGCCUUUGAUACUUUUAUUCUUGAGUUCGGGAGAGAGAGACGGAAUUCCAGGUGUAGUGGUGAAAUACGUAGAUAUCUGGAAGAACACCAGUUGCGAAGGCGGUCUCUUGGUCCGACACUGACGCUGAGGCGCGAAAGCGUGGGGAGCAAACA
rnacentral:rRNA from 1 species